UGAGACAGCAGCGCUACUCGCUGUGCCACUCCUACAUGUCUUAAAAACACCAAAACUGGGAGAUAUUUGAGAUAAAUAACAAUGAAACAUUUUAACAAAUUAUUUGUAUUAUUCUAGUUAUGGAUUUAGUUUUCAGCUAAGUGAAAACAAAGAGAUCGCUCUUAAAGCACCUGGACCAGAAAAUGCUGUGAUUCGAGUGUCAUUUCACAAUCUUGAGGAUUUCUGGUAAAAGUCUCACUUCUGCUCUAGUAUGAAUGGGCACUGCGAGAACACCCCACGGUAUAAAUGAGUAAAUCACUUUAAAGCUGGUCAUCUACCAUAGUAAGUUGACUCAAACGGUAGUGCUGGAAUGAUAAGGGUGUGAGAAGCGGGUUCAUGUUCUGCAGUCAUGUUGCCGUGAAUUCAUUUGACAGAUGGUCGUCUGGGUGGGAAUAUGUUGUCAUCUUCCUUUCAACAGUUUUCUCUCCCAAUCCGGGGGGGAGGCGCCUGAAUGGAAGGAGGGGGCACCUCAAGCGAGAAGCCGUGGCGCGUCUCUGAAAUCCGUGUGCGUCUCUGUUUAGGUUGCAAUUGCGAGCCUGAUGGAUGUGUGCGAAGCGCUGGUGCUCGGUGGGCGGGAACACACGUGUUUAUAAGCCCCCCACGCGCUCUGCAGGGUGGGGAUACAGCGCGCUGCCGAGGAGGGAAGACGAGGGACUCGAGGGGGGAGCGGCGAGACAACGCGGCGGCUCCGGCUCAUCAGAGCCACCCCUGUCCCCCCAACCUUGGAGCCCAGCACCUGUAUGGACGACCACUUCAGCCUCCUUGCCUCCUCACCACCCCAGUCAUCCACCAAGCAGAGGGGUGGCAACGUCGUGAAUUGCGGCUACACAGGCAGCGAGCGCGACACCAUGACGGUGGUCGCCUGUGACAACAUGCUGGAGGAGACAGCGGCACUGCCUGGACACGUGUCCCUGGAGCACUACGCCUCAGAGCCUGAGCCCGAGCACGAGUGCUGUGAGAGGGUGGUCAUCAACAUCUCGGGCUUGCGCUUUGAGACGCAGCUCAAAACUUUCGGCCAGUUCCCCGACACGCUGCUUGGGGACCCCAAGAAGAGGAUGCGCUACUUCGACCCCCUGAGGAACGAAUACUUCUUUGACCGGAACCGGCCAAGCUUCGACGCCAUCCUCUACUACUACCAGUCUGGAGGGCGGAUCCGGAGACCUGUGAAUGUGCCUAUCGACAUCUUCUCCGAGGAGAUCCGCUUCUAUGAGCUGGGCGAGGAGGCCAUGGAGAAGUUCCGAGAGGAUGAAGGCUUCAUCAAGGAGGAGGAGCGCCCCUUACCUGCAAAUGAGUUUCAGAGACAGGUUUGGCUGCUUUUUGAGUACCCGGAGAGCUCGGGUCCCGCCAGGGGCAUCGCCAUUGUCUCCGUUUUGGUCAUCCUCAUUUCCAUCGUCAUAUUUUGCCUGGAAACACUGCCCGAGUUCCGAGAUGACAAGGAGCUGAGCACCGUAGCGCCAUUGCUCAAUGGCACUGGGUCAUACCCUUCCAACUCCUUCACCGACCCCUUCUUCGUGAUCGAGACGCUCUGCAUCAUCUGGUUCUCCUUUGAGCUACUCGUCAGGUUUUUUGCGUGUCCCAGCAAAACCACGUUCUCCAAGAACAUCAUGAACAUCAUAGACAUCGUGGCCAUCAUCCCCUACUUCAUCACCUUGGGCACGGAGCUGGCGGAGCGGCAGGGCAAUGGCCAGCAGGCCAUGUCCUUAGCCAUCCUCCGGGUCAUCAGGCUGGUGAGGGUCUUCCGCAUCUUCAAGCUCUCACGCCACUCCAAGGGCCUCCAGAUUUUGGGGCAGACCCUCAAAGCCAGCAUGAGGGAAUUGGGACUUCUCAUCUUCUUUCUUUUCAUUGGGGUGAUCCUCUUCUCCAGCGCCGUGUACUUCGCCGAGGCGGACGACCCUACCUCCAGUUUCAGCAGUAUCCCCGACGCUUUCUGGUGGGCUGUGGUCACUAUGACCACAGUGGGCUACGGGGACAUGCACCCUGUCACCAUAGGGGGCAAAAUUGUGGGCUCCCUGUGCGCUAUCGCCGGCGUGUUAACCAUCGCCUUGCCGGUACCCGUCAUUGUGUCCAACUUCAACUACUUCUACCACCGGGAGACCGAGGGCGAGGAGCAUGCACAGUACCUGCACGUGGGCAGCUGUCAACAUCUGUCAUCCACGGAAGAGCUGAAACAGACACGCAGCGCAUCCUCCCUCAGCAAAUCGGAGUACAUGGUGAUAGAGGAGGGCAUCAACAACGCAUUCAAACCAGCCAACUUCAGCACUCAGAACAGCCAGAACUGCGUGAACAUCAAACAGAUCUUCACGGACGUGUGAGCGCGCGCCCGCGUGCGGGGGGGAGGGUAGGUCUGGAAGGGGGGCGCCACUCGCCCUUCUGUCGGUGUCAGCUGUGCCGGCGCGCGUCCCGCAGAGGCAGCGCGAUGCGUGACGUGUGCCUGUGGGCUCGCGGGGCUGAGUUCAUGUGACACCUUCUGGCCCGUUAAGGGUCUCGAUCUCUGCAGCCGCUUGGCGUCUCGUAGCGUCUGAACAGAAGUUCACCGUACUCCUGCGCGCUACAUCUUGCUUUAUCAUGUGCCGCCGACGACAGAACGCACGUUCACAUCAGUGUUUACCCACGCACGUGACUCUGCGGGGGGUCCAGAUCUGAGAGCGCAACAAAGAACGGAGCUCCAGGGAUGCGGGAUGUGUCUCGUGGGAGCGAAACGCUUCUUUCAAUGGAUGCCACUAUCCCUCCUCGUGACGCAGUCUCCAUGGCGACCACAGUUUCCUGGGUAACCCCUGAUGUUGCCAUGGCAUCUUCCUCCGUUUCUACAGAAACCUUCCAGAUGGUACAAAAACCUGACCUGCACAAUGAAGGAGUUACAGAAAGAGUCUGAAGCUCAAACCAUCACACAUUUUGCACUGACUUGGGACAUGGGCGCGCGCGCCCGCACAUACACAAGCACACAGACUUGCGUACCAGUGUGUGAACGUACUGUGUUCAAAAUCUGUGGUCUUGUGAGCGUGAAGGCUGAAACAAGCAAAAACAACGAUAUGUGCAAUACUACAUGAUGACUAAGUGCAAUGGUGAUCUGAUUGAAAUAUUGAUAGUAAUGGAUGGAGUAAAAUUCACUGUUAAUCUAUAAUGACGAAUUAAACUACCCUGUCUCCAAGAAAUAAGAGGAGCGGUGCUGAAUUCGCAUCACGGAAAUGUUCAAGUCAAAAACAGAACAGUCAUUUACAGAAAAGCUGCUAAUAAGACAAAGUGCAAUGCAGUAAAAAGUCACUAGGAGUCGCUGUAAACCAAGAAAUAGCGCUCCUUUCAUUAUUAGACGUGUAUUCUUUGA